GACGAACGCUGGCGGCGUGGAUUAGGCAUGCAAGUCGAACGGUAGGAUACCUUCGGGUAUCUGAGAGUGGCGAACGGGUGAGUAACACGUAGGUGAUCUACCCUCAAGAUUGGGACAACCCAGGGAAACUUGGGCUAAUACCGGAUGAAAGCAGCAGUGAUGUUGUUUGAAAGGUGGCGUAAGCUGCCGUUUGGGGAUGAGCCUGCGCUCUAUUAGUUAGUUGGCGGGGUAAAGGCCCACCAAGGCGAUGAUAGAUAGGCGGCCUUAACGGGUGGUCGCCCACACUGGGAUUGAGAUACGGCCCAGACUCCUACGGGAGGCAGCAGUCGAGAAUAGUCUACAAUGGCCGAAAGGCUGAUAGUGCGACGCCGCGUGAACGAAGAAGCCCUUCGGGUGUAAAGUUCUUUUAUAUGUGAGCAGUGCUUUCUAUGUGAACAGCAUGGGGAGAGAGAUAUUAAGCAUAUGAAUAAGCAACGGCUAACUCCGUGCCAGCA
rnacentral:rRNA from 1 species